UACCUUAUAGGUUAAACAUUCUAACUUUGCUGAUUUGGGCUUGAGGAUGAUGUUGUGAGCUGCACAUGCAUCCGACCUCUAGGAGUUAUCCACACGAGCCCACGAAUCACAAUCAAAAGUCCUGGUCCAGAAAAUCAGCACAAUAUGCUAGUACUGCGCUGAUCCUUCUUUGAUGGUCGAUCAGAUACCUCCUUCUUCUUGAUUUGGACUCUUCCAAAGAUGAGAAGUAGGAGA
rnacentral:lncRNA from 1 species